rnacentral:rRNA from 1 species
CCUGGUGACCAUAGCGAGUUGGAACCACCCCUUCCCAUCCCGAACAGGACCGUGAAACAACUCCGCGCCGAUGAUAGUGCGGA